AAGUUUGUCUUCUGGAAUGUCUGUGGAUUGAAUUGCAAAGCCAAGCGCUCUGCAAUCCGGACCGUCGUCACCUCAGCCUCUCCCUCUGUCGUUUGCCUCUCGGAGACCAAGCUCUCUCUGGUCUCGGCAAUCAUUCUUGAAACGCUCGGCCCCCUGUGCACCGACUUCUUCUGGCUACCUGCGACUGGCACGUGCGGCGGCAUCCUCCUUGCAUGGCGCCCCGAUCAUGUCAGCCUCUCCAACCCCUCCAUUGGAUCCUACCAUGUCUCUGCCAUGGUCUCCACCACAUCGGGCACGCAUGCCUGGUGGAUCACUGCCGUGUAUGGUCCGCAAGAUGCUGAUGACAAAAUGGCAUUAUUGAACGAGCUCCAUGAGCUACGUGCUACCAUGACCGGACCAUGA
rnacentral:rRNA from 1 species